AUGGAUUCUCUCCCGCCGCCGCCGCCGUCGCUGCCGCCGUUUGGCUCGCUGCUCCUGCCCUUGCCAUCCGAUUCGUCACUGCCCUCUCUCCCUUGGCCUGACCUCAUCGCCGGUGCGGCCGGCGCCACCCUCCGCCUCGUCUCCGCCCACUCACGCCACUUCCUCGCCCUCUCCUGCCUCCUCCUCCUGCCGCUCUCGCUCCUCCUCCUCUCCCUCCCCGCGCCCUUCCCCGGCGCCUCUCCUUCCGUCUCCCUCCGAUCCCCGCAAGAUUCUUGGAGCAACCCCCUCUUGCUUCUCGCUCUCGUGGCGGCGGCGCUUCUUUACCUCGCCGCCUUCGCCGCCGCCGCCGCCAGCGCGCACGCCGGAUUCUUCGGCCGCCCCGUCAAGCUCCUCGCCUCGCUCCUCUCCGUUCCCGCGUCCGUUCUCCGCCUCCUCCUCACAGCCCUCCCGGCCUCCCCUCUUCUGCUUAUCCCCCUGCUCCCACUGCCCGCUGCACUUAGCACAGCUAUUGCUCUUCUUGGCGUCUCCCUCUUAGCCCCCUUCUGGUCCCUCGCCGGCGCCGCAGCCAUCGUGGAGUCCGCUGCUGGGCCCUCCGCGCUCCGCCAGAGCUGCCGGCUGCUCUCCGGCGCACGCCUGGCGGCGCUCUCGGCGUUCUUGGUCUUUGCCGCAGGCAUGGGGGUAGUACUCUGGGGUUUCAGUGGGGUGGCCAUGGAGACAUAUGAUGCUGCCACCGGUUGGGCUGGCAUGGCGCCGGCUGUGGUCAAGGCCAUGGUUGGAGCGGCGGUGUUGGCUGCAAUGAUGCUGUAUGGAAUGGUGAUCAACGUGGUAUUGUAUAUGCACUGCCGUGCGCUGCAUGGGGAGCUCACUGGAGAGAUCUACAAUGAAUUUGCAAGCUCAUAUGUCUACCUGCCGUUCGACGAGGGCAAGGAUCGUCAUAUUGUAUCGGUGGUCACACUGUGGCCUUGA
rnacentral:rRNA from 1 species